rnacentral:rRNA from 1 species
UACGUAGGGGGCAAGCGUUGUCCGGAAUCAUUGGGCGUAAAGAGCGUGUAGGCGGCCCAGUAAGUCCGCUCUGAAAGUCCGGGGCUCAACCCCGGGAGGCGGGUGUAUACUGCUGGGCUCGAGUCCGGAAGAGGCGAGUGGAAUUCCUGGUGUAGCGGUGAAAUGCGCAGAUAUCAGGAGGAACACCUAUGGCGAAGGCAGCUCGCUGGGACGGUACUGACGCUGAGACGCGAAAGCGUGGGGAGCAAACAGG